CGGCUCUGAAGGCCGUGUAGGAAGACCACCAGCGGAGCAACAUCCCGGAUCGAGAUGCCCGCUGACCGCGGCGUGAGAACACCAGGGGAGGCCGCCCUGUGUCCACGCUCUGCCUGAACCCUGGUUUUAUCUGGGAUGGCAAUGGGCCACCUCAACGCACGCACUCUCUUCGACUCCCUCACAGCUAGGAGGGGUCAUGUGACCCAGGCCUAACCAAUGAAAACGAAGCCAAGUUUGCCAAGUGGGACUCUCGGAAAAGCUUUUUUGAAAACAGACAGGCAGGGUGGACAUGCUGCUCGCCUCUUGCCUCUUCUUCCGGCUCGUAACCUGGGUAGCAGCUGGCAGCAAAGUGGCCAUCUUGCAACCGUGACCGACCGACCCUGAGGACAAAAGCCAUGUGUUCAUGAUGGCUGAGCAAAAAGUGGCAGGCCUUGUUGAUAACAUAACAUGACAUCUCGGCGGUUUUUCCACGUCCAGCUCUCGGACUCGCCUCAGCGGCUGCAUGAUAUUGGGACACACUCCCUCUACUCGGCAAGAAAGGCCCCCGUUCUCGGAUGCUCGGGUUGCUUCCCAUCUUCUGCCGGAAGAACCGUGCGGUCAAGGUCCUUCCGCCUGUACCGCGGGGCCCAUGUGUUCAUUUAGACGCUGGGCUUGUGCCCCCACCCCCACCCCGUCUCCCUCCGCUUGUAGGCCCUGUUUGUUUGUUUGUUUGUUUGUCUGUUUUUGCCUAUUUCCGUUCUCAAAUUUUUAUCCCGCGAGCAUGUCCCGUUUGUGUAAUAAUCAGAAGGCUGUGUUUACAGGCCCAGGACUCAAACUUCAGCCAAGUCAGAUAAACAGCCCCGUGCGCAAGCCCGGCUCGGGCAGAAGAGGAGUCGGCCUCCGCUGCCGAGGCCCGCUGGCCGGGAGGCCGCAUUUCUGCGCAGUCACGCGCCGGCCCGGGCCUGCCCGCUGCGGCGCAUCCGGGAGCGCAGGGCCUGGGUUCCAGGUCAGGCCGGGCCAUUCACUCGCCGGAGGACCGCAGGUAAACCCCUCGGUGCGGAUGGAUCGUCAGAGGAGCGUUCACUACGCACCAGGCUCUUAGCUGAGGAUGAUACGGUGUUUGGGCAGACGGGGCUGAGGUGAGGAAAAGUGACCCCGGGAGACAGAGCACGUGCUGGUCAGCCUCCUGUAGCUCCGUCAAGGAACCGCCACCGUCCCUCCGGCCCAGGAGUCGGUUCUGGUUCCUUCCACCUCCCCUGCAAUCACCAGUUCACCCUCCGGUACUGUGGGCUCGACCUUCAAAAUACAGUUGCCCUUGAACGACGCAGGAGUGAGGGGUGCCGGCCCUCUGCACAGUCAAAAGUCCAAGUGGAGCUUUUGACUCUGAAAACUUCAUCACCACAUGCCUUGCUGACAACAUUAACAGGCUAUUAGCAUGUAUCUUGUAUGUUACAUGUAUCACAGACUUCUCCUUACAGUACAGUAAGCUAGAGAAAAGAAAUGGUAUUAAGAAAAUCAUAAGGAAGGGAAGACACCCUUGCAGUGCUGUAAGUAUUUAUUGAAAGAAACCGUGCAUGAGUGGACCCACGCAGUUCAAACCCACGCAGUUCAAACCCACGCAGUUCAAGGCGCAGCUGUCUUUCUCCGUCUCCCACCGAGCUCUCGCCACGCCUGGCCCGCAAGGCCCUCGUGAUCUGCACUCAGCAUCUCCCUACCGUCAUCCCCGCUCCCCACUCCUCCGGGGUCUCUCUGCUCCCCCACACCGGGCUCGCCCCCACCCCCAGGGCCUCUGCACUGGCUGUGCUCCUCUGUGGACUCGCUUCCCUCGCUGCAGCUCCAGGAUGAGGCUGAGGCAAGCGAGAGAGGCCCAGGAUGAAAACGCUGAGGAGGUACUCACUCUCCAGCGCCAGGCUACAACUGAGCGGGGCUGAGACCAAGUGCCCCCGCACAUUCUGUAGCCCGGCUCACUCGCUCGCCUCACCCGUGCGCCCACCCUGCUCCCUGGAACUGAUUCUCAUCCUUUGGGUCCUGAUGAAUUGACUCCAUCCUCAGAGAGACCCCCCUGACUGUCUUAGCUGAUGGUGCCUGUCACUGUGCAGCCCGCCACAUUGCCUCACUUUCAUUUACUUUCGUUAUUCUUAUCCCAAAAUGAUUUGUUUUGUGCCCGUCUCUGCCCACUAGGGUAUACGUUCUAUGAGGGUGGGGACUAUAUCUGCCUUGUUCUCAGAUACGUCCCCAGUGCCCAGCACAGUGCCAACAUUCAGGGGAGAAUAAAUACCCUGGAUGAAUGAAUGAGCUGGUCAGAGGCAAAGGCAGGAUUUGAACCCAGGUUUGCCUGACUCUGAAGUCAGUCCUUCUAUCCGUGAUUGAGAAAUGAGAGGCUCAGACCCGGUCAGCCGGGAACCCUGGUGUCGCAGCCUGUCCUGAUGGGAACCCUGCAUCCGUCCCGGGGACAGGCUGCUGAGGAAACUUCUGGGAGGGGGAGGAGCUUGGCCGCAAUCACGGGGCGCUCUCAGUCUUAGGCCUUCCUGGGGCCAGCUGUGCCCGCCCCCCUCGUUCCAGUUUUUAUUUUUAGCGGCGAGUUUUCGGGCACAGAGGACUCUCCUUAGGAAAAGUCCAGCGAGAGGAUGAGGGAGGCGGUUUUGAAAUCCGGUGGGAAAGUAGGUCAGGCCGGGUUGCUGGCUGGCGUCCAGGCGAUAAGGCCUCUGUGGAAGCUUAAUAACGUGAGCGGCCGUAUCCAUGACACAAUUCAUAACUGAGAGGAAAUAGCAAUUAAGGGGCAGUUGUGCAACGUGGGACAAGCCUCCUUCUCAGCUCAUAAAAGCAGGAGGAGGAAGAGGUGACGCUGUCAUGUGGGGCCACCGGGGGGCCGGGCAGGCGGCCUUCGGGGACUGGGGGCUGAGUCUCCACACUGAGGGGGCUCGCGCCCACCUUUGCUCUCCCGCUCAGGCCUCGGGGGACUGGGAGGAUGUGUGAGGCAGAGACUCCCUCCAGCAAGCACCUACUAAGUACCCAGCUGGGCUCAGGCCUCAGCGGAGAGCCGUAAAGCCGGCCUCGCGCGGCGGUUGGGAGCUCUGGCCGCAGCUGCACUGUUUUGAUGCUGCCCUGUCAAGACGGAAACUCGCUUUGAUUAUGGGGUGAGCUGUACAACAGACACCCCUGGUCCUCAGUCCGCCUCCCCGCCCCCUCCCCGUUACUCUGGGGUUUCCGUUUCUCCUUUAUUCCUUCUCCAUUAUUUGAUCUUCCCAUGAGCACCCUCUGCUUUUCUAUCAGUUAACACACACACACACACACACACAACAUCGCGUCCACAGGAGCACAUUUCCUCUUCCCUGAACAAGCCAGGCGGGCACUGGCCCCAGGGCCUUUGCCCUCGCCAGGCCCUCUGUCUGGACCGCUCUCCCCCUGGAUAGCCACAGGGCUCCCGCCUCGCUCCGCCAGGUCCUCACUCACAUGUCACCUUCCCACCGACGUCUCGGCUGACCAACGCCUU